rnacentral:rRNA from 1 species
AUACGUAGGGGGCGAGCGUUGUCCGGAAUGUUUGGGCGUAAAGGGCGCGUAGGCGGCCCGGUAAGUCUGGAGUGACAGUCCUGUUUUUAAGAUGGGAAUUGCUUUGGAUACUGUCGGGCUUGAGUGCAGGAGAGGGAAGUGGAAUUCGCAGAGUAGCGGUGAAAUGCGUAGAGAUUGGGAGGAACACCAGUGGCGAAGGCGACUUACUGGACUGUAACUGACGCUGAGGCGCGAAAGUGUGGGGAGCAAACAGGAUUAGAUACCCUGGUAGUCCACACUGUAAACGAUGAAUGCUAGGUGUAGGGGGUAUCGACCCCUUCUGUGCCGCAGUCAACACAAUAAGCAUUCCGCCUGGGGAGUACGGCCGCAAGGUUGAAACUCAAAUGAAUUGACGGGG